UAUUCUGUCACAAGUUGAUCACUUAACAUCAAUCUGAUAUAGGGAGUUUUUGACGAUGUUCAACACUUUUAAACUCAAUAGUCGUAAAAUAUAUGUACAGUAGUAAAGAAAUUUACACAAUCUAUUAUGCCGAGGUCGGUUAUAAAUAAGUGAUGCGAUGUUUCAAUUUCACUCAGUGAAAUAUAAGUCAGUCAAUGAACUGUCAAUCAGAAUGUUCAGAUAAAAUACAUUUAUAGAUUCAUUGAGGACCGUGAUUUUUCUAAAUUUUUAUAGAACUUUUAACGAUUGUUCAUGUACUUUCUAGCUCUUUCCAUGACCACUUCUGCGAAUCGAAAUAAGAGUAAAGACGCAGAACAAAAAAUUGAUGCGAUGAAAAAAAUUGUUAAGGAACAAUACAAUUUUUCUCGAUGCGUAGUAAUGUCACAAGUCGUAGUACAAAAUCAGUCUCAUUUAAUGAGAGUAGUUUAUAAUGUUCAAAAACGUGGAGCUGCACUAGCUGGUUCAAUCGUGUAAACUAUAUGCUAGUUCUGAUACAGACAUAACUUUUUUUUUCGGAAAACAGGAAUAUUAUUUCUAGAUCUAUAGUAUAUAAUACCAAUGUUUGCAAACAGAAACUUGGCACAAGACCUAUACAGAUCUAAAAUAUUAUCUUUGAUUCAGAGUGUAAAGACACACAGGAAGAACAUUGUGCAAAGUAAUGGUAUUGCAAAAUAUCAUGAGGGAGCUUGGUGAUCAUUUCUUCAAAAGGAUUCUCAUAUGGAUUCUUUCUGGAAAAAUGAUGGUCUGGUUCAUGGAGAGUCCUUGGUUGAAGUGUACAGCCUGGCCAUUACCAGGAAAAGUGACAAACCUCUCGGACUCGCAUUAAAAUCAAUAUGAUUUCUCGAGCUGAUGGCAUAGACGACACUUUG